rnacentral:rRNA from 1 species
AGAGUGAACGCUGGCGGUAGGCCUAACACAUGCAAGUCGAACGGCAGCACGGUAAGAGCUUGCUCUUAUGGGUGGCGAGUGGCGGACGGGUGAGGAAUACAUCGGAAUCUACCUUUUGGUGGGGGAUAACGUAGGGAAACUUACGCUAAUACCGCAUACGCCCUUCGGGGGAAAGCCGGGGACCAGCAAUGGCCUGGUGCUGAUAGAUGAGCCGAUGUCGGAUUAGCUAGUUGGUGAGGUAAUGGCUCACCAAGGCGACGAUCCGUAGCUGGUCUGAGAGGAUGAUCAGCCAACACUGGAACUGAGACACGGUCCAGACUCCGUACGGGAGCAGC